GGCUUGUCUAACUUUUUUACAGAAAGACUUUACAGGAGAAGCAGAUGAAGAAAACUGUUCAGUGUAGGUUGGAAGCUUACUUCAAGAAGUCUCCAACACAACCGUCUACCAUUCAUAACCAAGAAGUGAUGUCCAGUCCAGAUUCUCUUGAACCGGAACCCGAACCUGUAGCCUCUUCAGCUCCAUCAGACUCUCAAACGCCUGCAGAUUCCACAUCGUAGGCCUGUUCUACAUCCACAAACAGUUUGCCCAUCCCAGGAAGCAAGCCAACCAAUAGAAUUAAGUAAGAUUUUCUCAUAUGGUGGCUAAGAAGCUGAAACUGUACUUCAAGAUUCCUCCAUCAUUCUUAUUGGUACAAAGCUCAGGACCUUAGUGCCAUUCCUCUCCAUUGCCAUUCAUUUCUAUUAAAAGACAUUACCAUGGCUUUCUUUCUUACAAACCAGCGUUCUUUAAGUACUUAAGAGGUAUAGGGUAGAGCAAUGUUUAAUUCAACAAUCUGAGGGAGCAAAUAAACAAUUUUUACUUAACAUAAAUUUAUUUGCUACAUUUUUAUGUAUUUACAAAUCUACAGUCCACACAGGUUUACUAACAUACAAUCAAUCAGUCAGUUUUCUAUCAUUUAAUUUAUGAUGAUCAUCUUACUUGCACUAGCAUAACAAUACUUGUUCUCUAAAUUAUUGCAUAUAACAUUCUUAUGACAACCCCAUUUUGUGAUAUGCAAGGCUCACAAUAAUACAGAUAAUGCAUAUCGUGACUAACAGGUCACCUAUUAUCUAAUUUCUUCAUCUUAUAUGCAAAUUCACUCACAAACUACUAGUUUCCA